rnacentral:ncRNA from 1 species
AAACGACAAACCGGCGGUGACGUCAGGACGCAAAGCCACCGGCCUCCAAAACGAGGCAGCGGGGCUACCGAA